UGUAGUGUGGCCGAGUGGUCUAAGGUGCUGGAUUUAUGCUCCAAUCUCAAAAGAGUCAUGGCUUAAAAUCCCACCACUGCCA
rnacentral:tRNA from 1 species